GCUUUACUGUAACUUGAAAUUGGGUUCCGGCUUUGUUUGCGCAGUAUAGGUGGGAGGCUGUGAUAAUAUAUUUGAGGAUGUAUGGUAGCCAUCAGUGAGAUACCACUCUGGCAGAACUAGAAUUCUAACCUUGUUUCCGUUAUCCGGACAAGGAACAUUUUCAGGCGGGCAGUUUGACUGGGGCGGUCGCCUCCUAAAAGGUAACGGAGGCGUGCAAAGGUUCCUUCAGGCUGGUUGGAAAUCAGUCGUAGAGUGUAAAGGCAUAAAGGAGCUUGACUGUAAGACUUACAAGUCGAACAGAGACGAAAGUCGGCCUUAGUGAUCCGACAGUUCCGAGUGGAAGGGCUGUCGCUCAACGGAUAAAAGUUA
rnacentral:rRNA from 2 species